GCAUGAAACUUUAGUUCUACACAAUGUCCAUCUUCCUUCUCUAGCAUCUGUUCAGGUUUCUCAAUGUUGACUUGCUUUUCAAUUUUCAAUUCCCAGGAGUGUCGUGACUAUUCAAGCAUAGCAAGCAGGUGGUUUGACGGUUUAAUCAGUAAAGACAUUCAAAUGGCCAAUGAAGUUUUCUCCAUUCACACCAUUGAUUUUGACCGGCAACUCUUGACACCAUAGACCAUUUGAUGGUUUUCCACACACGGUAACGCAUGGCAUGUAGUUAACAUUUGCACAACUCUAUAGUUGGUCGGGCUAAUUCAUCGCUUCAACGGGUACGACAAUUGUUGGGUGAUAUGACGACCUGCAUUUUAAAUGGCUCAUUUUCUUAGCACUCAUGAAGAUUAAUUAGAUUUUUAGGUACUCGGUGUGUAUAUAUUCAUAGACUAGAUUCUGUAUCAUAUAGGAGCAAGGGCUCAUCUUUUACAGCUUGAAAUCUUAAUAGAACGCGUUUACUUUA